AGAAUCAACGCUGGCGGCGUGCCUAACACAUGCAAGUCGCACGAGAAAGGGGAGCAAUCCCUGAGUACAGUGGCGCACGGGUGAGUAACACGUGAAUAAUCUACCUCCGAGUGGGGAAUAACUGAGAGAAAUCUUAGCUAAUACCGCAUAACACUUACGAGUCAAAGCAGCAAUGCGCUUGGAGAGGAGUUCGCGGCAGAUUAGUUAGUUGGCGGGGUAAUGGCCCACCAAGACGAUGAUCUGUAUCCGGCCUGAGAGGGCGCACGGACACACUGGAACUGAAACACGGUCCAGACUCCUACGGGAGGCAGCAGUGGGGAAUUUUUGCGCAAUGGGGGAAACCCUGACGCAGCAACGCCGCGUGGAGGAUGAAGCCCCUUGGGGUGUAAACUCCUUUCGAUCGGGAAGAUAAUGACGGUACCGAUAUAAGAAGCCCCGGCUAACUUCGUGCCAGCAGCCGC
rnacentral:rRNA from 1 species